rnacentral:lncRNA from 1 species
UGGCUGAAACCACCACCAUCCUUGCCUUCCUCUGAGAAAAAUUCAAGGUGGGUACUGACAAAAAUUGAGCCUUAGGCUUAUUCAAUAUUAUGAAUUGAGGUUUCUUGAAUAAGGACUGGGAUUGUGAGAUGGGUGUUAUAGAAGCCAUCACAGGAUUAAGAAAAAAUUAAUGACUUGGCGUGGACAGAUCAAACAAGGGUUAUUGUUGAGUGCAAACAAGAUAUGAGUAUUGAGUUAGAGUAAUCUUGAAGCUAGAGGCUUAUAGAUUCAAGUAAGAGUAUGUAUAUGUUCGAACUAAAAUAUGGAUUUUUGCUUGUUUAUUGGUGGUGGAUGAUGACAACUACAAGGCCAUUCUUCGAAGGAUAUGGAUAUGUUUAUUGAUUCCCUUUUGUUUAUUGAAUGUUCAGAAGAUGUUCCGUCACGGCAGAGACAAUGGGUGGUGCUGUUCCAUGCGCUACGACGUCGUGUUACGUAGUUUAUUUUUUAAUUAUUGUGGCUUUCUAUACAUGGAAUUAUUUAUGCCAUCAAAUUUAGGCAUUCGAGAACAAUAAAAUAAUAUUUGCUAAUUUUAGAGUAUCGGAACAGGAAAAUUGCAAUAGAGGUUAUUAAACUUUUAUAAUACUUGUAAUUAGAUCAUUGAACUUUAAUUUAGUACAGUCUAGCCCCCACACUUUAAUUUACGAGCAACCAUAUUACUCCAUUUGACUUUUAAAAACGAGAAUACCAUGGUUAAUUAAUUUAGCCUCCGUUUCGCCUCCAUUUUUUUUCCCAAAUUUUAACAUUUAAAAUAGUAAUUUUUUUUUGAAAAAUGUGUAGUUGAAAAGAAAUGAAAUUUUUUUGAUUUACCUAUAAUAUUAUUUUAUAAAAGAUUGUGUAGUUGAAAAUAAAAGAGAAACAAACUGAAAGAGAAUAGGGGCAAAACGAGGGCUUACUAAUGAUUGACUUAGUCUUUGUUUGGAUUUCAUUAUAAGUUAAUGAAAAUAUAACGUGAAAGAACGUAGAUGAGUUGGUAAUAGGCGUGGCACUUGCGAAUUAUAUAAUUAAACUUAAAGUUUAAUUUUGACCUUUAAAUUAUAAUGUUGUACUUAUAAUGAAAUUCAAGCAAACACAAUUGUUGUAUCAAUUUAAACUCUUUUUUUUACGUACUCAUUUUCGGCGUAAAAAAAUCCAAUAUAAACGAAGAAUAUAAACACAAAAUACUAUGUCUUCUUUUGUAAGUGAGGUAUUUCUUUUCACCCCUAUCUUUUUGAUAAUUCAGAUGCGAAGUAUAUAUAACAUUACUCCCCUGGAUAGUUGAUAAACUUUAAGCUACUAGCAGGAGAAAAAUUUACAUUCACCAUCAACACUUUACAUUAUACAAAAUAAUAUUAAGUUACUUUAUAAUAAUUUAGAAGAGAGCAAAAUGUGGAAAAAAAAUAUAUGAUAAGAACAUUAAAUACCUCGAAAUAUUUACAUCAACGAAAACUAUGACUUUGAUUAUUAUUUGUCCAUGAUGUUCUAAAGAUCACUCGCAUUCCAAAAUUGCACAUUGACGUUUUGAUGAUAGAAAUUGUGUCGAUUAAAAUAUGAAGAAACCUUUAAGGGUUCGUUUGAUUAUAAGAAUGAGAUUUGGGUGGAAAGCAAAUGAAUUUUGCGGAAUUGAAUUGUCUAGAACUUGUUUUACUGGAAAUUAUCGAUUAAAUGUGUUUGACUGGUAUAAUUUUUCACCUGAAAAAUGUUGAAAUUUUCUAUCUUUUAGUGUCCAUUUCACUUUGUUUUUCAUGAAAAUUGUCAAUUAAAUGGAUAAAAUUUGUUACUUGUUCCAAUUAACCCCCCCCCCCCCCAAAAAAAAAAGAAAAAAGAAAAACUGGAAACCAAAAUUUCACCUACCAAAUCAAUGAAAAGGAGUCAUGUGGUGGGGGAGGGAAAAUCAAUUUCAAAAAAAAUUCUUGCAAUCAAAUAAGGAAAAAAGUGAAAAAUUCCAUUUUCCAUGGAAAAUGGAAUGGCUUGUAUCAAACAGGCGCUAAAUCUUUCCUAAUUUCUCCACCAACUGGAAUGACUUGAUUGCUCGAAAAUUUAUGUAUAGUAGUGUGAUUAUACCAAAAGAAAGUUCAGCCAUAGCUGCAAGUAUAGUCAAAGUUCAUUGACCUUUAGUACAAUUUGACAUUAUAAUAAGAUGAAUAGUAUAUUUUUUGAAAAAUGAAGGGUUGAAAAAUUUUCAAGUGAUGUGUAAUAUUAUUUUAUUGAAAAUUGUGUGGUUAAAAGUAAGAAAGAAAAAAUUUAAUUUAAUGUAUUGAAAAAUAAUGGAGCUCAUACGGGGGCAUAGUUAAUUUUGAUAGAUGUGGUAAAAUCCAAAUAGGGUAAUCAAUUGCUCCCUGUUUGAUUACAAUUUUUCUUUUCAACGAAAUAUUUUUCAUUAAAAUAAUAUUACACGUAAAUCAAAAAUUUUUCAUCUAGACAUUUUUGGUUAAUCUACUAUUCUAAAAUUCAUUUUUCCUUAAAAAUGGAUGUCAAACACUCACUAAAUAAAUAUAAUGUUUUGAUUGCACAAAAAAGAAGUUUAUUCACCUAUUAUGAUGUGUUUGAUAACAUUUAUUUUCUAUGAAAAAUAUCAGUUAUCCGCGCAAAUUCCUAGUGAAAAUUCAAUAACCUCCGGUGCAAUUCACACGUUUGUCCCUCUCUAACCCUUUUUCUUGAGAUUUUUUAGCGGAAUUAAGCUAGUUCGAGACCCUUUGAGGUGUUAUCAAGAUCAUUGAUUUGAAUAAAUAUUGUUAAAAUUAAUGAUAAAAUUGUGUGUCAUAUCAAAGCGUAUAAAUAAAACUGUCAACCAUGGUGUAAGUAUAACAAAACUUAUUUUCAACGUAAUAUUUUAUUGAUUAGAGCAGUCUGUCCCUAUUUCCAACCAAAUAUUCUAUUAAAAUGGUAUGGAAAGACAAUUUAUACAAACAGAGAUCUGAACAUGAAAAAUAAAUUAAAAAUUGACCAAACGACAGUUAAAAAAGAGUGACCAAACGACAGUUAAAAAAGAGAAUAACUUUCUUCUACCAUAAGUUCUACCACCACCUCGAAACCCACAAUUCAAUUCCAGCCAUCCCACAGCCCCCUUCCACCACAAACCCACGCACAAUUUAUGCCCUCGAGAUUAAAAUUAAAUUUUUAAUAGAGUUUGAUAAGAAUUGAUGAAACGUGUGGUUCAAAAAUCAUGAAUUCCACAAAAUAUGAUUGAAAUUAGUUAUUGAUUUUGACUUAAAUUGAAGAGGGUGCAUUCAAUUGAGACUUUUAAUAAUUUUUUGAUAUUUAAAAAGUUUAGGGGUAUUAAUUAAGACUUUUUGAGACUCUUUAAAAAUUAGAGUGUAUUCAAUUGAGAUUUCUAUAGACUUUCAAAAAGUCUAUAAAAGUUACGGUGUAUUCAAUUAAAUUUUUUUAUAAUUCUCUAUAAGUCUUAAGAUAUUCAAAUUUUAAUAACUUCCAGAAACUUUUAUUAAAGUAUUUGGAAUACUAACUUUUAAGCAGAAAGUACUCAUAUAAUAUCUUAAAAUUUGGCUCUCGUUAAUCACGAGAUUUUGAAAAACUUUCACAAAAAAAAAAGUUUUUUUUUCCCAAUCUUUCUUUCUUUUAACAUUUCAUGGACAUGUAUGAAUAAAUUUUUUUUUUAUUGAUUAUAUUUCAUUUAUCUUUCUUUCUCUCUAUCUCUUACUAUUUAUCUCUAUUUUCUAUGAAAAAAUUAUAUUAGAUUCUUGCAACUUUUUUUCCCCUUUUUCAUUCAUUUUUGGGGAAAAAAAUAUAUUUUUUAUUAAAUUAUAAAAAUUUUAUAUGAAAAAUUUAUAAUUAAAUUGAUAUAUAUAUAUAUAUAUAUAUAUAUAUAUAUAUAUGGGAAGAAGAAGGUAAAGGAAAAUGGGAAUUAUGGAAACUAACACUUCGUACGUGAGAAAUUAACACUAAAUCCACGUGAAUUCUAUUUCAAAUGAAAGUUUUAAAAAAUCUUUUGAAUUCUAUAAAAGUCUAUAUAAAUUUUAAAAUGAAAAUCCAUAUAAAUAUAUGAAAAACUUCCACUAAUUCCAUACAAAUCUAUAAAAGAUCCACAAAAUCUACAAAAGUCAUCACUUAAAAAAAUAUCUAUUAAAAUUUUCAAAAUUCUCAAUUGAAUAUGUUGGAAAAAAUGAGUGAACAGCUUACUUUUAGCACAAUUUUCGGUGGGACCGUUGGUCCAAUUUGAAAUAUCAAAAUUGAUAUGUGUUCUACUCCGCGAGAACGUCAAAGUCAUGUAUUUAUUUGCCAAAAUGAAGUUCGGGUGAAUUCUCAAUUGGAGUUUAAAAUGGACCACUGGAAAUGGUCUAUGUUGGUGGGAAAAUUAUAGUUAACUUUGUCCCACAUAAGAAAAACAUGGAAACCAAAAUCACUUUAUAUAUGGCUAUGCAUUGGAAUGAUGUGAUCAUGUGUAGCAUAGAGACUCUCUCCACGUGUGCGCUCAGGGGGUGCAAAUCACAGAUAGAAAUAGCCUUUGGACCUUGAACUUGGGUGCGGGUGUGACCUACGCACACGAAUGUCGAACCGAGGGGAGCAAAAACUGGCCAGUUUGGAUUGUCUGUGUUUUGCAAUUUUUUUGUGGUUUUUUCAAAUGAUUUUUGAGUGUCUGAAACUCAUGAACUUCAAUAGUCGAAACUGAAGUGUAACUCCAAAAAUUGCAAUAGUUAAUGCAGAAACUAAUGGUCAGAUCCAGCCUAUAUAAUUUCACUCAAUUCCAGCAGUUCAUACACUGAAAUUUUCGUCUACAAUUUCCAGCAGUUUACUCUGACAUAGUUCUAUUUUAUGUUUUUGUUCCGUCUCCUCCUGUGUCCAUUCCAGUAAGGUGAUAUUGUUCGAACACUCGCCCAAUUCGCAGGAGUAGAACCGCGGUGCUCAGACUCUGCUGGUUACCGUUAUAUUUUGGGAGACAAGCGCUCGAACUAAACCUCUAGCACUGCGGUGAGGGGCGAAUUUGUCUUAAGGAAACUAUGUUUACACAGGUCUCGGGUUGAAAAUUUAUCUACUGUUUAUUUCGUUUGCAUUUUAUUCUUACAGAUUUAUUUAUUUAACGAUUUACACAUUUGCAACAUACUUGACUCAUAUAUUGUUUGUUAAAUUUAUGUUAGAAAUAGAUAAAUUAAAUAAACUGUUUUUUUUCUAAUUCGUUCUAUGUGUGAAAAAUAGAUUUCACAUAUACGGUAUUUCUAUUUGUAAGUGAAAAAAUUGUGUUAUUUUAGUUAGUGUAUGAAUAAAAAUACUUUAUGCAAAUUUUGUGCAAAUACGGUAAAUACGGUGAGCUUCACCUGCAAAUACAGUGAGCUGCCAUAUAUAGUGAGCUUUCUGCACAUACAGUAGGCAGCAUAUACGGUAAGCUGCAAAUACGGUAAUGUGCAAAUACGGUAAGGUGCCUGGCAUAUACGGUAAGGUGCUUGACAUAUACAAUAAGCUGUCAUAUACGGUGAAUUGAACUGCCAAACAUGGUAAGCGUGAAUUCGGUUUCUAAAACACAAAUACGGUAUAUGAGAACCCGAUUCCACUCCAUACACCACCAAUUAAAUAAAACAACAAACUUAAGACAAAUUCUUAAUACGUAUUAGUAGUAAACAAGUUUAUUUGUUUAUUGGAAAGUAAUAUUUGUUUCAUUUUCGGAAAUGGCUGCUGAACCAACCAACAUGGAUGUGACCUAACCUGUUCCUGCUAGAAAUCAAGUUGUAGGCUCUACUAUGGCACAAGGGCCAAGCUGCUCUGCUGUGGCUAACUUGCCUAGUCAUGUUUUGAGUCAAACUGUGGCUCCAACAAGUGGCCAAAUGAUUACUGUUCCAGUUAAUCAUGGAGAGAAAUCGGAGAAAUUCAAUGGCUUGAAUUUCAAGAGGCAAUAGCAGAAAAUGCUGGUUUACCUGGCCACCUUGAAUUUUGUGAGAUUUUUGAUUGAGAUUGCUCUUGUACUCAAUGAAGGAGAAGGAGAUAUUCAAGCAGUCAGUGCACUUGACGCUUGGAAGCAUUCGGACUUUUUAUGCCGAAACUACAUUAUGAAUAGUUUAGCAGAUACGCUAUACAAUCUGUAUAGCACGAUGAAAACUGUUAAGGAGUUGUGAGAGUCUUUGGACCGAAAAUACAAAACUGAGGAUGCCAGGGCUAAAAAGUUUAUAGUCAGCAGGUUCCUAGACUAUAAGAUGGUAGACUCCAAAACUGUUAUCAGUCAAGUGCAAGAACUCCAAGUGAUUCUUCAAGAAAUUCUUGCCGAAGGGAUGGUGUUGAGUGAAACCUUUCAAGUGGCAACAAUUAUUGAAAAAUUGCCACCCAUAUGGAAAGAUUUCAAAAACUAUUUGAAACACAAACGAAAGGAAAUGAGCGUUGAAAAACUUAUUGUUAGAUUUCGAAUUGAAGAAGACAACAAAAGUUCAGAAAAGAAGUGGUUCAAUCUUGGUGUGGCUAAAGCCAAUGUUGUGGAGCAUGAUCAAAACAGUAAAUUUACAAAAAUAAGUUUGGGCCAUCCGGUGGAAAAAAGACCAAGUACGGACCGAAAGGUGGAAUUUCUAAGAAGAAAUUUCAAGGAAAAUACUUCAAUUGUGACAAAGUAGGCCACAAAUUUUCGGAGUGUAGAAUGCCAAAGAAGAAGACGAAAGAAGCAAUUAUGGUUGACUACAUGGUACAAGAUGUCUCAGAAAUAAAUCUCGUAGCCGUCAUUUGUAACGCCCCGAACUCUUUUUCAUUAUUAUUGAUAUUUUUAAAUAAAAAUGAGCUCAAUGUGCUACCAAAACUUUUCUCUAUCUAAUUUAAGCGAAAAUAUAUCGAAAAUAUUCGAUUUCAAAUUAUUAAACAACAUAAUAAAUAUCGUGCAUAAAUAUUAACACAAAGAUAUUCUUUAUAUAAAUUGACGAUUGUCUUUUCUAGAAAUUUUACUUGACGACCACAUUAGCAUCGCUCCGUCAAUCUUCCACGUGUCCUCACAACCUGUUCUUAUCUGAAAAUAUUGUAAGAGUGAGUAUUUUGAAAACACUCAGUAAGAAUACGUGCAUAUCCUUUUUCACAUAAUAUAAAUAUAAAAAUAGCAUAACAUACCAACAUUUCUUAGGAAUUUCUUAAGAAUCCCUAUAUCUCGUAGGAUUUAAUUUCUUUUCUUUGACCUGACGGUCUAUCCCGAAAGAUUUAACUUCUUCUCUUUGACUUAACGGUCUAUCCCGAAAGAUUUAACAUAGCAUUCGACCCGAAGGCCUUAAAGUAUCUCAUGCCAAAACUUACAUAUAUAUCAAGGAAUAAGAAUUUACCACUUGCACCAUGUAUUCUUACCCCAAUUUGAUAUCCAAGAAUUUACUUGAAACUGACUUUGUGAAAAGAUAUAAAUAUUAUACUCUAUUAAAUUCUAAAAAUAUUAGUGGUGUGGAGUGUACAAUAUACUAUUGUUGUAGAAUAUAAUUUUCAUCUCAAAUACACCUAUUUAUAUAUUCCACACACGUAACUUACGUAACAUCAAAAGGCAUUUCACGUUAAUGGAAGAAUAAUGGAGUUAAACCACCAAAAGUGGACGUUUAUAAUUACGGUUACAAAUUGAAAAGCCACCUGAUCAUUAAUUGAGGAUUAAUGUAAUUAAACAACUAGGAUUUAAUUAAAAAUCAAUUAAAGUGAACGUGAUGGUUACGGUUAUAAAUUUGAAAGGACACCUCCACGUUUAAUUAGAGUUAAUGUCAUGGUUAUGGAAUGUAUUAUAAAUUUCUAAAUCAAUUAAAGUGGAUGACAUUACAUAACCAUACAAUGAAACUAUUCAUUUGGUUAUUAUUUUAUAUUAUAUAUGUAUUAAUAUAAUAUUUGAGAAUGAUAAUUUUCUUUCUAUUAGAAUAACUCGGGCAUAACUAGCUCGAAAUUACUUUUUCUUAAGCUCAAAUUAUAUUAUUUAAUACGAGCUACAAAACGAGUAUAAUAUCAGUAUAUUUUUAUCAACUUUAAAAAUACUUAAAUAUUCUAUUCAAAUAAUUUUCUAAAAGUGCUCGUAACUCGUAAGCAAAUAAAUUAUUUAUACGAAUAUGCGAGUCGAGUCUACCACUUCAACUUUGGACUUUUAAUAUAAUGACAAAUCUUCACAUUUUCAUUUGCUAAAUAAUAAGUUCAGAUUCACAUAGUAAAAUGCAGGGUGUUACAUCAUUUCUGAAGUGAAAAUAUUGGGUUCAAACCCUACGGAGUGAUAGAUUGACACUGAUGCUACGAGGUAUGUGUGCUCUGAUAAAGAGUUGUUUGCUACGUUUGAAGCAAUUGAGAACGGGGAGAAGUUGUUCAUGAAAAAUUCAGCAACCUCUGAAAUCAAGGAUCAAGGAAAGGUGCUUCUAAAGAUGACCUCGGGAAAGGAGCUGACUCUUAACAAUAUGUUAUAUGUGCUAAAAAUUCGUAAGAAUUUAAUGUCCGGGUUGCUUUUGAAUAAGUAUGGUUUUCGCAUUGUAUUUGAGUCAGACAAAGUCAUUCUAUCAAAAAGUGAAAUAUUUGUUGGAAAAGGUUAAGUUUUCGACGGUAUGUUUAAGCUGAAUGUAAUGGUUGUGAAACCAAAAAUGAAUAAAACAAAUUCUCCUGCUUAUUUGCUUGAGUCUUCCAAUUUGUGGCAUGGUAGACUAGGACAUGUUAAUUAUGAUACUUUACAUAGACUAGUUAACUCGAAUUGCAUACCCAAAUUCCAUAAUGAUUCCGAACAUAAGUGUGGAACUUGUGUUGAUACAAAAUUGACAAGGUCAUCCUUUAAGUCAGUUGAAUGGAACACAGAACCACUUGAUUUAAUUCACAGUGAUGUUUGUGACUUAAAACUUGUACAAACAAGAGGUGGCAACAAGUAUUUUAUUACUUUUGUCGACGAUAGCACAAAAUACAGUUAUGUAUAUCUGCUUAAAAGCAAUGAUGAAGCUAUAGAGAAAUUUGUUCUCUAUAAGAAUGAAGUUGAAACUCAACUCAAUAAGAAAAUUAAGAUACUACGGAGUGAUCGAGGUGGUGAGUAUGGAGCACCAUUUGUCGAUUUCUGUGCACAACACGGAAUCAUACAUGAAACCACCUCAUCUUAUUCACCGAAACAAACGGUGUAGUUUAACGAAAAAAUUGUAACUUAAAAGAAAAGAUGAAUACAAUGCUAGUAAGUUCUGAGUUAUCUCAGAACAUGUGGAGGAAAGCUGUGUUAUCAACAAAUUACCUUUUAAAUAAGGUGCCUCGAAAGAAAUCGGAAAAGACUCCUUAUGAGUUAUGGAAAGGAAGAAAGUCAACCUAUAAACACUUGUGAGUGUGGGGGUGUCUUGCAAAAGUGGCGUUCCAAUACUAAAGAAGGUAAUGAUAUGCCCGAAACUGUAGACUGUGUCUUCAUUGGCUAUGCAUGUAAUAGCAGUGCUUAUUGGUUUCUUGUGUAUGAUUCAAAAAUUCUAGACAUACAAAAAAACACGAUAAUGGAUCGAGGAAUGCUUCAUUCUUUGAAGAAGUAUUUCCAUACAGGUCCAAAGUGGAAGCCAGCUCUUCUAAACGAACAUAUGAGAUAAUAACUGAAAAUAGUCAGGAUGAAUAAUUAGAAGAGGAGACUGAGGUUAGACGUAGCAAACGGGAAAUGACAGAAAAGUCUUAUGGUCCUAAUUUUCUGACCUAUAUGCUAGAAAGUGAACUUCAAAGUUAUCAAGAAGCUAUGAAUUACUCGAAAAGACCUCACUGAAAAGAUGCCAUUAAAGAUGAAAUAGAUUCCAUACUACAAAAUCAUACAUGGGAGCUAGUGGAUCUUCCUCCUGAAUGCAAACCACUAGGCUACAAAUGAUUUUUUAAAAGGAAAAUGAAAGCAGAUGUAACUAUCGAAAAGUACAAUGCCAGAUUAGUAAUAAAAUGUUACAAACAAAGGGAAUACCUUGAUUACUUUGAUAUGUAUUCUCCAGUGACGAGAAUAACAUCUAUUAGGGUGAUACUUGCAAUUGCUGCUUUGUGAAAUCUAGAAGUAUAUCAAAUAGAUGUUAAAACUGCCUUUCUAAAUGAAAAUUUAAAAGAAGAAAUUUACAUGGAACAACCUGAGGAGUUUCAUCACUAGGACAGGAAAAGAAAGUUUGUAAACUGGUAAAAUCACUAUAUGGUUUGAAACAAGCACCCAAACAAUGACAUGAAAAAUUUGACAAUGUCAUAAUAGAGAGUGAAUUUGAAAUUAAUGAAUGUGACAAAUGUGUUUACGUCAAAGAUAUUAAAGAUGGCUAUAUUAUUUUAUGUCUUUACGUUGAUGACAUACUUAUUGUUGGUAGUAACAAUAAAAUGAUUGAAUCUACUAAAAAUAUAUUAAAUUCGAGAUUUGAUAUGAAAGAGAUGAUGUUAUACUUGGAGUCAAAAUCUCAAGAAUAUCAGAUGAGCUUGUUCUAAGCCAGUCAAAUUAUGUGAACAAAAUUUUGGAAAAGUUCAGUAAGGAUGAUACUGGCUUGACCAGAACACCGAUAGAUACAGGUCAACAUCUAUCCAAAAAUAAGGGUGAAAGUGUCUUUCGAAUAGAAUACUCGAGGGUUAUUGGAAGUCUAAUGUACUUAAUGAGUUGUACAAGACCAGACAUAUCCUACACAGUUAGUAAAUUGAGUAGAUAUACGAGUAAUCCAGGAAAUGAUCACUGGAAAGGUAUAGUAAGAGUACUGAGGUACUUAAGAUAUACUCAUGACUAUGGAAUACACUACAUCAGACAUCCAGCAGUCAUUGAAGGAUACAGUGAUGCUAAUUGGAUAUCUAAUAUAAAAGACUCAAAGUCCACCAAUGGAUAUGUGUUCACUUUGAGAGGUGCUGCCAUCUCGUGGAAAUCCUCUAAGCAAACGGUUAUAGCCAGAUCUAUGAUGGAAUCUGAGUUUAUAGCCCUAGAUAAAUGUGGUGAAGAGGCCGAAUUGUUGUGCAACUUCUUAGAGGAUAUUCCAAAAUGGUCUAAACCUGUACCUGCAAUUUGCAUAUAUUGUGACAGCCAAUCAGCAAUAGGAAGGGCACAGAGUAAUAUGUACAAUCGUAAGUCUACACAUAUACGUCGUAGACACAAUACCAUUUGACAACUACUCUCAACUGGAGUUAUCACAAUUGACUAUGUUAGGUCAAAGGAUAACAUUGCGAAUCCGCUAACUAAAGGGUUAAAUAGAGAGUUAGUUGAGAAAUCAUCGAAAGGAAUGAAACUCAAGCCCUUGAAAGAAUAAAUCAUUACAAAGGAAACCCAAUCUAGUUGACUGGAGAUCCCAAGAUCUAGGUUCAAAGGGACAACCUAACUGUAAAGACUUGAUAAAAUUACUGUGGGGUAUCACCUCCUGUCCAUUUCUAUGAUAUAACAGUGAUGCCCGUAAGGAUGAAGGUUAAUCAAUAGGCUCUUAAUGAUUCUUACGCGUCGAAAAUUGAGCAAAGAUGCAGGUUACUUGUAAUAAGAAAUCAUCCGUGUGAGAAAGAAAUGGGGCCGCUUCUAAAAGAAUGGUGUAGGGGCUCAAUUCUUAGAAACUCUCACAGAACCAGACAUAUGUUCAUGGCCAAAACGAACAUAAUAAUAAGAAUUGAAGGGUGUUAGGAAGAAUCCUGUGAAGUAUAUCAUCGUUUACACAAAUGGCAGAACAGUUCAAAGACAUCGCGUCUACUGGUCAGCCAGUAAAGUAAUUAUGCUUUCACAAGGGAAUGUUCAAAGGGUAACACCUACCUAUCUUAUGCAGGUUUCAACCAUUGAACUUUAUCACCAAGUCUUAUGUCGCACGUUUUGUGUCUUUCCCAAUUUUCAUUCAUGUGGGGGAUUGUUGGAAAAAAUGAGUGAACGAUUCACUUUUGGCACAAUUUUCGGUGGGACCCAUUGGUCCAAUUUGGAAUAUCAAAGUUGAUAUGUGUUCUUCUCCGCGAGAACAUCGAAAUCAUGUAUUUAUUUGCCAAAAAUGAAGCUCGAGUGAAUGAAAAUUUGGAGUUUAAAGUGGACCAUUGAAAAUGGUCUAUGUUGGUGGGAAAACUAUAGUUAACUAUGUCACACAUAGAAAAAAUAUGGAAACCAAAACCAUUUUAUAUAUGACUAUACAUUGGAAUGGUGUGAUCAUGUGUAGCAUAGAGGCUCUCUCCACGUGCGCGCGUAGGGGAUGCUAAUCACGGACAGAAAUAGCAUUCGGACCUUGAACUUGGGUGCGGGUGUGACCUGUGCACACGAAUAUCGAACCGAACGGAGCAAAAAGUUGCCAGUUUGGAUUGUCUGUAUUUUGCAAUUUUUUUGUGGUUUUUCCAAAUGAUUUUUGAGUGUCUGAGACUCCUAAAAUUUCAAUGUUCGAAACCGAAGUGUAACUCCAAAAACUGCAAUGGUUAAUGUAUAAACUAAUGGUCAGAUUCAGCCUAUAUAAUUUUACUCAAUUUUCAGCAGUUCAUACACUGAAAUUUUCGUCUGUAAUUUCCUGCAGUUUACUCAGACACAGUUCUAUUUUUUGUUUUUGUUCCGUCUCCUCCUAUGUCCAUUCCAGUAAGGUGAUAUUGUUCGAACACUCGCCCAGUUCGCCGAAGUAAAACCGCGGUGCUCGAAUUCUACUGGUUACCGUUGCAUCCUGGGAGAUAGACAUUCGAACUAAACCUCUAGCACUACGGUGAUGGGGUGAAUUUGUCUUAAGGAAAGCCUCGGGUUGAAAAUUUAUCUACUAUUUAUUUAGUUUACAUUUUGUUCUUGCAGAUUUAUUUAUUUAACGAUUUAUACAUUUGCAACAUACUUGACUCAUAUAUUAUUUGUUAAAUUUAUGUUAGACAUAGAUAAAUAAAAUAAACUAUUUUUUCUAAUUCGUUAUAUGUGUGAAAAACAGAUUUAACAUGUACGGUAUUUCUAUCUGUAAAUGAAAAAAAUUUGUGUUAUAUUAGUUAGUGUAUGAAUAAAAAUAUUUUAUGCAAAUUUCGUGCAAAUACGAUGAGCUUCGCUUGCCAAUACAGUGAGCUGUCAUAUAUGGUAAGCUGUAAAUACGGUAAGGUGAAAAUAUGAUAAAUUGCAUGACAUAUACGGUAAGCUGCCAGAUACGGUGAGUUGUCUGGCAUAUACGGUACGGUAAAUUGAACUGCCAAAUACGGUAAGCGUGAAUCCGGUGUCUAAAACACAAAUACAGUAAAUGAGAGUUCGAUUCCACUCCAUACACUACCAAUUAAAUAUAACAACAGAAUACACCCCCCGAAAUCUGAAUUUAGUUAGUGUUUGUCAAUCACUCUCUCUUUCAAACUCAUUUAAACAUAUAUUUUGACAAUAAAAUAUUUUGCACAUAAAUUCCAAAUUUUCCCGCUUUUUAAACACACAUUUUUCAAAAAAUCAUUAUUCAAAAACUUAUUUUUUUCAAAAACCUUUUUUUAAUGGUUUUCAAAUAGGGGCUUGAUUUCUACUAAACAUGGGCUAUAUAUGUUUUGCAAUACUCCUCCAAGACUUUCCAAACACUCAAGAAUAGUUGUGAUGUAUAACUUUGGUAACCAGGUCAACGACCGUUUCAUAACAAUAACUUAGGAGUAGAGCCAGGCCAAAAUUUCAAACAUUUUUGCUCUCCAUUUUCUAAAACUCUUUUUCCCUCGAACUUAUUCCAUAUUAUAGGCAUGGUAAUGAAAACGCAGCUUCAAUGUAACAAUUUAGAUAAAUACGAUUGACAAUAUACUUUAAUUUCAUAAAUACGUUAUUCAAUAUAUAGGCACGGUGAUGAAAAAAGCAGCUUCAAUGUAACAAUUUAGAUAAAUACGAUUGACAAUAUACUUUAAUUUCAUAAAUACGUUAUUCAAUAUAUAUAUUUCAUUUUACGAAAAAUAACCUAAAAAACUAUAUCAAUUCGUUAAAUUUUACCAUGAUUUUAGGAAGAUUUUUAAAAUUAAUUGUGUGAUAGAAUUUAUCCCUAGAAAAGGGGGUGAUUUUCAUUAUUUUAAAUAUAAUUUGAAAAACAUAACUUGAUAUGCCCCCAUUUGGCCUUCAUUUUGUAGAAAUGAAAAUGGGUGGAAUAUUGUUUUUUUUUUUUUUGAAAAAUGAGUGGUUGAAAAAUAAGGAAAAACUUUCGAUUUACAUGUAAUAUUAUUUUAUAGAAGAUUGUGUGGUUAAAAAUAAAAGAGAGAAAAAUGAAAUGUAAUAGAAUGAAAAUUAUGUUUAUAUGGUUUUGACAACUCGAGUCCUGUGGGUCGUAGUGUCAAAAGUAUCCAAACGAAGGGAAGACCACACGACUUUAAAACAACAUCCUUGAUAUAAUUAUCUAAAGCUUGCUUUCUAACUCUCUUAAUGUUUAUGUUAUUUUAAUUAAUAAUGAUAAAAUUAACUUAUUUUUCUCGACAAUUUAAUGUGAGAGUGAUUUGUGCAUAAAAGUAGGGCAUGAAAUUUAUCGUAUGUAUUGAUGCCCAGUUGCUACAAUUGUAAUCUUGCAUUUUGAAUUGCAUUAUAGCAAUAACAUGACCAUUAACGUCAACUUGAUGACCUCAAUGAUAAUAAUUAAUAAUUCAAUAUAGCCACCCGUAUAUGUGAUGUGCACAUAUGAGUAAGGUAUGGAUUGAUGGUUGAUGUUUGUACAAUCUUCGUCGAUUUCUUUAUCUUCAAUAUGUUAGUGAGCUAGAGCCCGUGCAUUUGAAUAUGUUAGGAGAAGAAAGGACAUGGUGUAUAUGGGGGAGAAAAAGAAGUAAUUAAGAUUUUAGUUCACCUUGUACAAUAUUUGAAUUUUGUUUUAUACAAAUAUUACCAUUUUUUUUCCUCUUUGAAUAUUUUUGGCCAUUCCUGACGAGGAACUUCACUUCUCCUGCACCCAAUUUCUGUUACUAUGAACGUUAUAUGUUCAUUAAGGACAUUUGGUUGAAAUUCUGAGAUAAGAAUAUGAUAGGGUUCUAUAUGUGAGAAGGGCAAAACACAAUGAGAACAAAGGAAAUAGCUCUGUAAUAAUGGAAUAAAAGUACAACAAGAAGAAUGGUAAUCGGUAGCCUUUCGAAAGGGCUACUUCUCUCUUAAAUCUCACUAUUACUCCAUAACUUGCCUGUCUUCUACCCUCUCUUCUACCUUUAUUUAUAAGGAUUUCGGAUUUCCUAACUAAUUCCCCUCUCCACUUGCCCUUGUAACAGAAUCUGUCACUGCCCCUCCUCAAAUCUUCCGGGCUCUUCUAGAAUUGGAGGCUUAUCAGAAUAGUUGAUUUCCUAUGCUUUGAGUUCUGCCAUAAACACAUUUUUCCAGUUAAUUUCUCAUGCAUGCUUUAAAAUGUUCUCAAAUAGUGCAAUGAUUGGGAUUUUUACUGGAAAUGUUGAGGAUAACGAAAACAUAAAUUCUAUGAUAUUCAUAUAUGUUGCCAACUAUUUAUUUACAGUGUAGAUGAAGUACUUGAGAAAAAAUUUGAACUUUAAUAAUAGAAUUUACACUAAGAAAAAAAGUAAAAUUUUUUUUUCAGUGAAAUUGGAUUAAUAGUACAGCAAAUUCUGCUCCAAGUAUAUCAAAUCUUAAAUCAGUACUUGUUUAUCUUGUAUGAAUGGUGGAUAAAUUAUUUUUAGAAUUAGAAUGUGAAUGAUAUGUUCGAAACUGGAGCUAAUAAUCUAUUUUGGAUUUAGCAUGGCUGUUGACAUGGAGGUGUAAGCAUCAGAAUCAAUAAUUAGAUUAAUUUUGGGUUCCAAGAACACCAUUUUCAUCUUUGUAAUAGUGAGUUGAUGAUCACUGUUACAUUCUCCUGCAUUAUGCCAGUUAAAAUUAGGAGCUAAGAAAGUAUUGAUUUCUGUAUUUUCCCUUCCCUAUCUGGUAAAACUGUAUAAGCAUAUCUAAUAAUUGUUUUUCUCAUAGCUUUAAGAAAAGGCAGUGAUUUAAGUUGGGCUACAAAGCCAUAUUGCCAUGUAUAAUGCUACUCCAAGUAACAUGUAACAUAACUUUUGUAACUGGAAUUAUAUACAUUGAAUUAUGUAAUUAACCUACAUAUAAAAUGUCAUCUUUCUUCCUCCUCCUCCUUCAUUUAUUUUUAUUUUUAUUUCCUUAUGUAGUUUGUAGGUUAGGACCGAAUAUCUUUGGAAUGUGGGGGUGUUCAAAAUUUUGGAUAGAUACACUCAUAUGUUAUUAUUCUUAGUUUUAAAAUUGAGUUUUGAAAAGUGUUAAAAAAAAUUAAAUAGACUUGUAGGUGAAAUAUAAGAGUUGAACGGAUGCAUUUGCUCAAAUGUUACUAAAAGUCAAUAUUAAAAGUUCACGUGUUUAUUUUGUAUGCUUAAAUAAGUGAUAUUUUUGAAAGUGUAGAAGACUUAGCAGAAGUGUAGGUGACGAAUAAUAGCUUUGCAAAUAUAUGGUAUAACAAAUUGUUGUCCAAAAGGGACGUGAAUAUAUUGUAGUUCGUGAUAAAAAUAUAUAAAUUAUCGGGAGAGUCGACUUAAUUUGAUAAGGGAGUCACUUUCGAGGAUAACCCAACAUUCUCGUGAAAAAUUCAUUCGAUAACUUGUUAGUAUCAUUUCUUGUGAAAUCCUAUGUUAAGUUGAUUCUAACUUCAUCUUUGAUAAUGACAAUUGUAAACCUUGAGUUACAAUACUUGUAGUGUUCUGCCGUCGGAUUCCAAAAUGAAAUCAGGAAGGCCUAAAGAGAGAAAGGUAGAGGGGAUACAACCACACCCAGAGAACUGAUAAGUCCAGCCACAUCCCAACUGCAAUUCCAGUUGGUUUUUUAAUCAGUUUUUUUCCUUUUGAAGUUAUUGAAAAUCAGCCACAAUUUGUUACCAAUUUCUUAAUGAGCAAGUCUUUCCCAUGCAAAAGACAAAUUGAAGGCAGCCACCCAUUUUGACUCUUCAACAAUGAACUAUGUGGCAGAUUUUUUGGCCAGAAUUUUAUGACGGUUUGUAGUCAAAUUUUUUCUAUAAAUAUAUGCUACCAUUUGUAGAGAAAGAGAUUCCCCAAGAGAGAGGGAAAUAUCAUUUGAGAGGAAGAAAAUUAGAGUGUAUAGAAGAGAAAAAAAGAAGAGAUUAGAGAGACUCUUAUGAGAGGUUUUUUUUUAGAGAGUUUGUAAUAUUUUAUUGUAAAUUCUAUUCAAGAUAGAAAUAGAAUUAUUUGUCCUCUUUUAUUCUCUUCUCGUGAUCGGAGAAUCACAACAAGUGGUAUCAGAGCGAGAUUUAUCAAUUGACCCUUCUAGUUUUUUGAUACAACUUCAUUUUUUUUUAUAAAACGUUUACAAGCCAAGAUGCCAAUGGAGAAAUCUUCAUCAGAAGCUAUGAUCAAGCUCACUGCCACCAAUUACACACUGUGGCGACUUCGGAUGGAAGACCACCUUAGUUGUAAGAAUUUGUAUGACCCCUUGAAAGCUAAAGGUGUAAACCUCGAUCCUACCAAGGAGAUAGAGUGGAAGAAGCUAAAUAGAAAAAUUAUCGGUCAAAUUCGACAAUGAAUUGACCAUAGUAUUUUUCACCAUGUAGCACAGCAGGUAGAUGUAUAUGCCCUCUGGAAGAUUUUGGAGGACAUGUACCAGGCCAAGGCCGCUUGAAACAAAGCCCUGUUGAUGAGGCAUUUGGUGAAUGUGAAGUUAAAGAGUGGAACUUCAGUUUCUGAGCACACCAGUAAAUUUCAGAGCUUGGUAAACCAAUUGUCAUCUGUGGAGAUGCUGCUUGGGAAUGAAAUACAAGCCUUACUACUUUUAAGUUCUCUUCCUGAUAGUUGGGAGACAUUAGUAGUAUUUCUUAGUAAUUCAGCCCCUGAUGGCAAACUUACCAUGUCUAUGGUCAAGGAUGCCCUAUUUAAUGAAGAUGCCAAGAGAAAAGACGUAGACACGGACCAAUCAAAUGCCCUUGUCACAGAGAACCGGGAAAGACAACAAUGAGACGUUCGAGGCAGGGGGAGAGGUAGAAGCAAAAGUAGGGGCAGAUCCAUAGAUGGAAGGAAGCCUACUUACAAGUGCUACUAUUAUGGUAUGGAAGGCUACUUGAAAAAUAAUUGCAAAAAAUUGCUACGAGAGCAAGGCCAGAACAAUUCGCCGUCGAAAAAUAAGGAAGGCUGAGACACUAGUCACUAUUUCUGGGGAGGUGGCUAUCUGCUCCAUCCAUGAGAAGACAUGUCUUCAUGUCUCAAAUCAAGAUAUUAAGUGGGUAAUAGACACUGCAUCAUCUUACCACGCCACUCCACGUAGAGAUUUCUUCACAACAUACAAAGUUGGCUACUUUGGUGUAGUAAAGAUGGGAAAUACCAGUUCUUCUAAGAUCGUGGGAAUUGGUGAUGUCCAGAUACAAACGAACCUUGGGUGUAAAAUAACCUUGAAGGAUGUUCGACAUGUACCUGAUCUUCGGUUAAAUCUACUUUUGGGGAUAGUCCCUGACAAACAGGGCUAUGUCAAUCACUUUAGUAAUGACACAUGGAAAAUGAUGAAAGGCUCCAUGGUUGUCGCUCGAGGACAUAUAUGUGGCACUUUAUACAAGACUCAUGUGAAAAGGCAUAUGAAUAGCCUCAAUGUAGUAGAACGUGCGGCUUCUCAAAAUUUAUGGCACCAGAGAUUUGGCCACAUGAGUGAGAAGGGGUUGUCUACUUUGACAAAGAAGGAGCUAAUCACGGUUGUCAAGGAAGCUGUGCUAGACCCUUGCAAUCACUGUCUAUUUGAGAAGCAACAUAGUCUCCUUCAAUUUCUCUUCGACAAGAUGAUCAUAGUUGCUUAGUCUGGUACACUCUGAUGUUUGUGGUCCCUUGGAGGUUGAAUUACUAGGCGAUAACGAAUAUUUUCUACCAUUCAUUGAUGAUGCUCUCGAAAGAUGUGGGUAUAUUUCUUGAAGACAAAGGACCAAGUGGUAUAUUUCUUGAAGACAAAGGACCAAGUUUUGGAUUACUUCAAAUUGUUUCAUGCUAUGGUAGAGCGUGAAAUAGGAAAGAAGCUGAAGUGUCUCUGCACAGGUAAUGGAGGCGAGUACUUUUCCAAAGAGUUUGAUGCCUAUUGUAAGAGAUACGGUAUUCGACAUGAGAAGACGGUCUCACGCACCCGACAACAUAAUGGAGUUGUCGAGAGGACGUAUCGGACGAUCAUGGAAAAGGUUUGAAGCAUGAUAUGUAUGGCUAAGCUGCCAAAGCCAUUUUGGGAGAAGCUGUUCGAACCGCCUACUACCUGAUCAAUAGAUCACCAUCAGUACCAUUCAAUUUUGAAAUUCUAGAGAAAGUAUGGUCCGAUAAAUAUCCCUCAUACUCUUACCUGAGAGUAUUUGGCUGUUUAGCCUUUGCACAUGUAUCUACUCUAUGUAUCUUUAUAGUUUAUGGAGAUGAGGAAUUUGGAUAUAGAUUAUGGGAUCCAAAGAUAAAGAAGGUCAUCAGAAGCAGGGACGUAGUGUUUCAUGAAAACCAGACACUGAAAAGCUCACAAUAUCUCCUAAUUCCAAUUUUGGUGCCCAGAAUAUUAUUCCAGAUCCAGCACCAAUACAAUUCACCAUAGAUAAUGACGAUGUGCAUGAAGGAAUGCUGGAAGCAGAACAGGAGGAUGAAGAAGAGGAUAUUGACUAUGGGGAGUCACAAUCCUCUUUACCAGAAAUUGUCGGACCAUCACAUCAACCAGAUGAUGAUGCACCUCUUGAAAUCAACGAUCCAUAGGUAAGAAGAUCUGAACAAGAACGGAUUCCAUCAACGAAAUAUCCAGAAUCAGAGUAUCUUUUGCUCAUUGACGAAAGAGAGUCGGAGAGCUUUCAGGAAGCACAAACUCAUGUGGACAAAGACAAGUGGAUACAAGCAACGUAGAAUGAGAUGGAGUCACUACAGAAGAAUCAAGCAUAUGAGUUAGUUGAGCUUUCGAAGGGAAAGAAGACAUUAAUGAAUAAAUGGGUUUUCAAGCUCAAGAAAGAUGGCAGCGGAAAGGUGGUAAAACAUAAAGCCCGUUUGGUAGUCAAAAGAUUUCUUCAGAAGAAGGGAAUUGAGUUUGACGAGAUUUUUUCACCUGUUGUAAAAAUGGCCUCAAUUUGAGUUAUCUUUAGAUUAGUAGCCAGUCUGAAUCUAGAGCUUGAAUAGAUGGAUGCCAAAACAGCACUUCUUCAUGGUGAUUUAUAUGAAGAAAUUUAUAUGGAACAACCAGAAGGUUUUGAAGUUUUAGGAAAAGAAAACUUCGUUUGCAACCUGAAGAAGAGCUUGUAUGGUCUUAAGCAAGCACCCAGGCAGUGGUACAAAAAGUUUAACUCUUUCAUGGUGAGUCAAGGCUAUAAAAGAACAGUUGCAGAUCAGUGCGUUUCUAUUCAACACUUUUCGGAUGACAAUUUAGUUGCUCUUCUACUGUAUAUAGACGACAUACUGAUCGUUGGACAAGAUGCAAUAAAAAUCAGGCAACUGAAGAAGGAACUCUCCAAGUCCUUUGACAUGAAGGACUUAGGCCCAGCUCAACAGAUUUUAGGAAUGCACAUAACUUGAGAUAUGAAGAAUAAAAGGUUGUGGCUAUCUCAGGAAAAGUAUGUUAAUGAGUGAUCAAGAGAUUCAACAUGCAUAAAGCCAAACCUCUCAGCAUUCCAUUGACCAAUCACUUCAAGUCGAGCAAAAAUUCAUGCCCCUCAUCCAAGAAAGAGGUAGAGGAGAUGUCAUCGGUACCUUAUUCUUCAGCAGUUGGAAGCCUGAUAUACGUCAUAGUAUGCACAAGACCAGACAUUGCUCAUGCAGUGGGCAUGGUGAGUCAUUUUCUCUCUAAUCCUGGAAGAGAGCACUGGAAGGCAGUCAAGUGGAUUCUUAGGUACCUCAAAGGUACAUCAAAGAUAUGUCUGUGCUACGGGGGAGCUAAUCCAAUCUUAGAAGGUUAUAUAGAUUCAGAUAUGGCGGGAGAUCUUAACAGUAGAAAAUCUACUUCAGGAUUUCUCUACACUUUUGCAGGGGGAGCUGUUUCAUGGCAGUUAAGACUACAAAAGUGUGUUGUUUUAUCUACAACAGAAGCAGAAUAUAUUGCAGCAACAGAAGCUGGUAAAGAAAUGUUGUGGUUAAAUCAAUUUCUCCAAGAACUAGGGAUCAAGCAAAAUGAUUAUAAAAUACAUUGUGACAGUCAAAGUGCUCUAGAUUUAAGUAAGAAUUCAAUGUACCAUUCUCGGACAAAGCACAUCGACAUCCGCUAUCAUUGGAUAAGAGAAGUGAUGGAUCAACAACUGUUGAAAUUAGUGAAUAUUUACACAAAUGAGAAUCUAGCAGAUAUGUUAACAAAGGUGGUUUCAAGAGAAAAGUUAGAGCUAUGCAGAGACAUAGUUGGGAUGAUUGUUAAAUAACAAUUGAUUUAAAUGCGACUGAAGGGGGAGAAUUGAUAAGUCCACCCACAUUCUGGCUGGUUUUUUUAAUUAGUUUCUUCCUUUUGAAGUCAUUGAAAAUCAGCAACAAUUUGUUACCAUCAACGGCAAAUCAAUUGUUGUUGAAGUGCGUUAAAAAUCAUUACUGCAGGAUACAUGAUAAAACAAAUUGAGUUAUGAUAUUAGCCCCCUCUCACGUGCAAACUUUUGCCAUUUACUAAUCAAAUUAUUUCAAAUGUGUAUAUAUAUAGCUCCAUUGCUCAUGCCCCCACCCGAGAGUCACGAGCUUACGAUCGUGUUUGAGGAGCUCAUUACAAGUUCUGCAUCCAAUAUUUUUGUUCCAACGGUGUGAUGGAGAAUGGAUGCGAGCAAGAGGCUUUCAUUUUUUUUUAAGGAAAAAAAUAGGAAAUACCAUAUACAACUCGAUAAGCUUUUUAGUUUCCACACACAAACACAUAUGCACCUAAAUAGGUCAUUUUGCACGUUGAACUCGUCAUUAAGAUUGAAAUACAUAAUGACCCAAGCAAUGCUUUUAUUUUAAUUACCUAUUUGUCAUGAUUGCUCUUAUCGAGAUAUGAAAAUUGAAAGGGCUGGAAUCCUCCCAUUUUUCAUCUCUCUUAACUAAUCUUUUGAAUCUUAUAAUCCUGUGUCAAGAAAAGGAUAGCUUGGAUAGUAAUUUUUUUUUUUUUUUUUUUUUUAAUGUUGAGGAGUGGAAACAAGCAUAAUAAAUACAUGUUCCAACUACUUAUAUUCACUAAAUACUCUUUAAUAUAAAACAAUUCUAGAUAGUGGAUUAUUCUAAAUAUCGACUCAUAACUCACUCAAUGACAAUAUGUAAACAAGUCCAAAAUAUAAGACAAACAAUUAAUUGGCCCACAAAAUGCACUUCUUGGACCGAUUGUAGCAACACAAAAUAUCUUCAAAUUACAAUAUUAAUUGGCUAAAAUCAAGUUCAUUUCACAACAUGCACCUUCGAACGAACAUAAGAUAUGAUCAAAUUACAAUAUGCAUAGAAAACUUGAAUCUUGAAAUAUGAGAUAAACAGUUUGAAAUAGUAAUAAUGGUUACAGUUGUAUUAUUAUUAUUAUUAUUAUUAUGAAGAUAUAAUGAUUAACCUUGUGCCCUUGAUCACAUAAGAAAUUGCAACUUUGAGCAUCAUGACAAUAUCAAACGCAUGAUAUCCCCAGAAAACUUGAAUGAUUUCUCAGUUUCAUCCAGGCAAUGAUUCUUCUCUUCCUCUGUCCAUGUCUGCAAAAUUCCCACAUCAAAGUUAAAUCCCAUAUCAUAAAAUUAUACUACCAAAAUGGUUUAUAGUUAAAAAGAUUAAUCAAUAAAUUCAGAAAAGUAAGGGCAAUAAACAAAUUACUUCAGCAACCCGGUUUAGCUUUUCCCGAACGUUUUGCAAGAGUUGGGACAGGUCUCCAUCCCAUUUAUAGAACUCCAACUCUUGGUUGUUAAGAAUCGUUUUUGCUACCUGAUGGAAAAUAUGCCAUAAUUUGAGUAUAAGAAGUUAGAUCAUUUUUACUAAAUAACUAAUUAAAACUGCAAAUAUUUACAUAAUUUUGAAUAUAGUUCACACAAAUAAGCUUAAUGAAUACGAAUAAAUUGAAGUUCAUUUUCUAAAACAGAUAUUCUUUACCUUCGUCCCCAUCAGUCUGCCACCAGCUGCAUGGCCAAAGUAUCUAGUGUAGAAGUGGCAAAUUAAUGCUUGAGGAUCCUUUCUGGAUAGCUCUUCCAUAUACUGGGCAUAGCUAACGCCUAGAGAAGAUGGUUGUGGGAUGGCAUGACCUUGCAAUUUAAACCAUUCCAAAUCUUUUGUAAGACCUUUUGUCCUCUCCAGUCCCGUGUUCUUUAACUCUGCAUCUGUACGAGAAACAACAAAACGAGUAAGAACUUCACACUACAGUAACACUCAAAUUAUCAGGUCAUAUUGACAGGAUUACAUGUGAGAUUAAUUUAAUUUUCAUGGUCUCAAACAUUGGGAAAUAUUAAAGUGGUUGCUUAGGUAUUUGAAGAGUACUUUUGAUGUAGGGUUAGCUUAUAAAUUUGGUAAUGAGAGUGUGAAAUUUAGCUCUCGUUUGGUGGUCUUUAAUUUGAAAAAAAUCAUGUUUUGAAUAUAAUUUUUUGAAGAAUGUGUGGUUAAAAUGUAGAGAAAUUUUUUGGAUUUACGUGUAGAGCAUUUUGUUGUGUGAAUGUUGUUGAAAAUGAGUAUGAGAAAUAAAUUUAAGAAACGUAAGCUAAAUUAAUACCACCAAAUAGGGGCUUAAAGAUUUCAUAGAUGCUGACUAUAGUAGAGAUAGAGAUAAUAGGAAAUCUAUUUCCUUGUGUGUUUACUCUGUGACUCUUACAUGAGUUGGAAAUUUUAACCCCAACAUUUUGUUGCUCUAUCCAUUAUUGAAGCCGAGUAUAUUGCUACCACAGAAGUUAUUAAAGAAGCUCCAUGGAUUAGAUAUUUACUUAAUGAACUAGGUGUUUUAAGUGAUAAUGUGAUUGUAUAUUUGAUAAUCAAUCUACUGUUUAGUUGUGGAAAAAAUCCAUUUUUUGUAAAUGCACUAAACAUAUUGAUGUUAGUCUGCAAUUUUUUAGAGAUGUGGCAUCUCAAGAGUUGAUGAAACUUGAGAAAGUGCAUUCAAAUUAUGACCCUGUAGCUAUGGGCACUAAGGUACUCCCCUGGUAAAGACUAGAAGCUAUCUAACAUUUCUAAACAUUGGUAAAUAUAAGUGAUGUUUAAUUUUUGUUUGAAAUCACAUUGUUAGAGUACUAAACUUGUUUUGUUUCUUUUUACAUGAGGUGUAUUUGGCAUAAUAUGGAGGUUUGUCAGAGAUUUGAUACCAAAUAAACCUGGGAUAAUGAUGAUAAAUUGUGUCAAAUUAAUUCAUAGGCCUUGAUCCCAUUAUUUAAUAUUACAUAUCGAUUGACCCAAUGUUAUAGUUGGUGGUCCAUGGAUCCAAGAUAGACUAAGAAUCUCACGUUUGGUAAUGAGGGAUGAUUAGGUCUUGACCUGUUUAUAUUUACUUGGCCCAUAUUUUGACCCACCCUAAAUUACUAGGGUUUUAAACAUUACAAUUCAAAACUCAAUGCUAAAGUUUCAUUAUUCAGAAAUUAGGUAUUGAUUUAAUAAUUUAAAUAUUAAAUAUUUCAUCCAAAUUCAAUUUCAACCCUAAUUCCUUUCUCUCUCUACCAUCUAUCUUCUUUCUCUUUUCUCUACCAUAAAACACCACCGUCACCACCGACAGCGGCGAAACUCUGAAAGCAACCUCACUGAUGACUAUUAUUUUUGUUCUCUUUCUUCUCCUCUGAAGCAAUCUCACUCAAUAGCUCCAUCGUUCUUCGAUCUCCCUGUCGAUGGCGUUUACUCACUCUGACGAUGACUUAUUUUUGUAGCCCGUCAAUGUAGCGUCACGAUGCUGCUACGAACAUAACUUCGCGAUGCUGCAGUGCUUGGGGUUGAUUGGUGCCCACGUUCGAUGGGGUUUGGGGGGUUUUUUUUUCUUUCUUUUCCCGAUUUGAGGAGGUUGUGGUAAAUUGUAGACAUGGGUGGUAGUAUCGUGUAGUGGUGAUGGCGACGGCGAUUUGGGGAUUAUUUGGUAGAAUUGGUUGUUGUGGUCAUAAGAAAAGGUUGAUUGGAGGUGUAGGUGGCACAUUGAUUGAUGGAGCUGGUGGUUGUGGUCACAAGAAGAUGUGUUAUGUGGCGGUGGAGAUGGUGGUAAGGUUGUGGGUUGUUUAUUGUUGGUGUGUUUGGUGGUAGCAAUCGUGGUGGUUUCUAACAGCGAUGGAGGUGGUGGUUGGAGAGUUGAUUGUUGUGGUUUUUGUUAGCAAUUAAUUGGAUUUGGUGGUGAUGUCAUGCUAUUGGUGGCGGUGGCGAUGGUAACGAAGUGAGAGUUGUGGCAAGUGGCGGUGGUGGCACUGGAGGUGGUGGUGGUAUGUGACCAACUAUUUGGUUACUUGUGACCAACUAUCUAAUUGUGACCUUAAAAUUUGAUAAUUGUGACCAACAAAUUUGAAAAUAUGUAACUGAUAGAUAAGUUGUGACUUAUAAUUUUUUCAUGUGUGACCAAUGAAAUAAACUGUGAUCUACAAAAAAUUUUAUUUUUGACAUCGAAAUAAUUUGUGAUCAAUUAAUUUAAUAAUACUUAACUAAGAAAUAAGUUUGCGACCUAUAAUUAUGUACCUGUGACCAUUAAUGGUAUAAAUGUGAUUAAUAUUUUUAAUUAAUAAAAUAUAUUUAAUUAUUAAAUAAAAACCUAAUUUUUACAUUUAAAACUUUAGACAUGAAAAUUGAAUUGUCCGUACUUAAUACCUUAGUUGUGAAUUUUUCCCUUCCAUUUAAGUGUUGACUUUGUCUACCAUGAGCGACAUUACAUAUAUUACACACGUCUGCAUUUUUUUUCCCCUUCCCCUUGGUUGCUCGACUGUUCCUCUGUGGCUCUUUGUGCUUUCUGCUUCCACUUCCUCUACACCUCUACUCGGCAUCUGUCGCCGACCUGAGCGACCUUGGCAGUCCUCGUUUGUGCCUUGGUUUCUCCACUGUUUCGGUCGCUUUCUGUGGCUGCUGGCUGACCGGUUUCUUGGUUGGUUUUAUUGCUGAUUUUUUCAUGAUUCUAACGAGAUUCUUGUGUCCAAUCGCGUGUGAUGUUACCUUAUUGACUUGGAUUGGUUAAAUCUUAGCCCCGUUACUCCAUUGUUGAUCCCGAACGUGGCUUUUCAAUUGGAAAGUGUUCUUGCAAUUUUCAAUAGUUUAAUUCGGUUUCUUUGAUUUGUUUUAAGGUUUAACUUUGUGUUCGAUUAUCUCUAACUGUUAGGAAUCAUUUUACAACAACCAGGUACACCACAUCAUGAUACUCUAUGUAAAUGAAAAAUAUUCAUCAUUAUCAUCAUCAAUCUUUUUAUUGGAAUAGGCCUUGGAAACUGAAACAAUACAUUGUAAACUUGGUACCAUCUAAAUCUGUUCCAAAAACUCCUAAAGAAUUACUGUCAUGCACCAUAGUUUGAAAUAUGCCUUUUCUAUUUUCCAACAAGUGUUGAAAAAGGAAGCUGGAAUCUCUAACUAAAAUUUGCAUGUUUGAAGGAUAUUCUAAAGAAACGAGACGCUAUAUAGUAAAUUAGAUAUAUAAAAAUAUUGAUCGUGAUCACACAUGUUGACAUAGUGGGAGGGUUACAAGAAUUCUAGCUAUCAACGUAUAGUUGGGACAAACCACAAUCUUUAAAAGAUGUCAUUGUCAUGGAACAAGAAAUGAUACCUAUAUAUUUUAUCGAAAGACAUGUUUGGAAGUUAUUUAUAAUUAGUUUAAAUUAUACUAAAUAGAAAUAAGUGGUGAAUAAGUAAAUAAUACUUGUGGAUCCCAUUACAUGUAUCGAUAAAAAGUAAUUUGACUGACUAUAAAUAAAUUAUAAACAUGUGCCAAAUAUACGCAAAGUCAAAGAUCUUAUAACUUGUAAGGGUCAAAACAAGUAGAUAACAAUGGAUCUAGAAGGAAGAGAGAGAGAGAGAGAGAGAGGUGUUAAUGGUAAGAUUCGAACCUGUUAGAACUAACAAUUAUGUUAGAUGUAUAUUGAUCGUGUCAAUUUACCCUUACACUCUCCAUUUUGUGACAUCAUCUAAGCAGGAAUGAGAAAGGUUGUCGGGAAAAUCAAAGGGGAUAAUGGUGUCAUGUGACAAAGUGUAAAGGAAAGCGUACACAAUAAUAUACAUGUGGCAUAAUUUUAGAACUAAACUAAGGCUGAACAAAAAGACUCAAAAAGAGAGUAUCGACUAUGAAGAUUUUUGCCACCUUCUCUUUGCCAGUUUCCAUGCUUACAUUAAUAAGAAAAUUACAUUUUAUUGCAAGCGCUCUAUUAUGAAAUCUCACAUAUAGAGGUUAAGUUAUUGUUUUGUAGGGAUUCAAAUUUAGAUUGUAAUCAAAGUCAAAGUUAACAAUUAAUUUUAAUUACAUAUUUUAUGGGAUUUACAUCUUUUCAACCAUGCAUUUCAUUAACAUUUAUCAAAUUUUACUAAAAAAAUGAUUUUAAUCUCCUCCAAAUAGGGGUGAAGACUAUUUCUUAAUGAUACUAUAGAAAAUAAUUAAAUAAUGGUAUGCAAUCUAUAUAUAUAUGUGGGAAAAUGUGCUAUGCGUGCAUUUACAGUCGUUCAUUGAAGUGGAUCUGACAUUAAUGACUCAUUUAUUAUGGAUAUUUAUUAUAUUGUAAGUCUGAAUAGCACAUGCUCAUUAGAUCCCAUUUUAGUGAUUGUAAAUUUAAAUGACUAGAAAAAUUAAUGAGGAAAAAUUCAUGUUAUGUUCCGUAACCUUUCAAUUAGUAUACAUGGUAUUGGGCACCCAUACCUUCAAAAGUGAGGUAUGAUUCUCCAAGUUAGUAAAUACGUGAAUUUGAAUCCUAUAAAUACCGCAUUAAUUAUUGACGGUCUUCAUCAUGUGGGAUCCAAAUUCACAGAUUAGGUAGUUUUGGGAAUUAGAAUCUCACUUUUGGAGGUUGAUGAUCGAAAGCCGCGUUAUUUAAAAGGUUAAAUAGUCUAAUUCUAACUUUUCCUAUUAAAUAUUGGUAGACAAACUUGGAUUGUGCUUUUUUCUAAUUAAAGUUGAUGGAUAUAUUAAGGUUCUGUUUGGGAGCGAUUUUUUCUCCCAAAAAAUUAAUUUUUUGACCGUUAUUUUACUAUUCCAGCCGUCAUAUUUGAUUUCUUCUCUCACAGGUGGACCGCACUUUUCUCCUAACGGUCAAAAAAUCAAUUCUUAAAAUCACUCCCAAACAAGCUCUAAAAGAAUUUUAUUAUCAAAUAGGAGUUCAGCAAAAGAUAUCUAGACUAUAUUACCCACUAAUUUAACUCACAAUGCUAAGAAUUUCCAGAUAGGGUUUUAUUUAUUUUAUUUUAUUUUAUUAUUAUUAUUUUAAAAACAAGUGAUGGGAUACAAUAAAAACAUCUCCACUUAGAUUUAACAAUUAAAAAAACAAUGAAAAUAUAGAAUAGUAUAGAAGGAUUCAUGUUGUUGAUGUCAAGUCUACUGUAAAAAAGAUUUAGUUUGUUGAUGUUGUAAUAGAAAAUAAGCAAUUAAUAGUCUUAUACUGAAAAGAAAUGCUGUAAAAAAUAAAUAAAACAAACUCACAUUCAGAAAAAGUGGCCUUGUCCAUGAUUUUCUCCAUGGUGUCAUAAACCAACCUACUAUCCACCAAGAACUUCAAGUAACCCUCAAGAGUAGGCUCCCAUUCGCCCAUAGGCAGACCCACAGUUUCCUUCGAUUCUCCUUCUUUAGCCUGCUCCCUUGUGUGCAAUUUCAUUGCAGCAAGUCUCAUCUCAUCCACAAACCCCUUAGCCUCUCUAGGAUACCUCUUUUUCGACUUCUGAGCAUCUCCUGUAGCUGAAACCACCACCAUUUUAGGUUUCGUCUCAGUAAACCUUGAGAUGGGCAUCGGCAAAAACUGGGCAUUAGGCUUAUUCAAGAUUGUGAAUUGAGGUUUCAUGAAUAGAGGUAAUCGGUAAUGUGAAAUGAUUGUUACGGAAGCCAUCACAAGAAUGAGUUCAAACUUCAAAUGUGUAUUAAGAUAUAGCAAGUGAUAUAGACUUAAGCUUAAUGUUGAGUCCAAAAAAGAUAAGAGCAAUGAAUGUUUAUAUAGUUUUUGUAGAUUUUAGGAAUAUUUUCCUUUUUUUACUGGUGGAUUGGAGUAUACAAGUCGAUUUGCAUACCUUUCUCAAGUAUUUUGAAAGGAAAAUUGCAUUUUUUGUCCUAAACCUUUACAAAAUGUUACGAAUUUAUUUGCAACUUAUUUUUAGCACAAUCCAUUCACAACCUUUCAGUUACGUAGCAAACCUUUCCUUCCCUCCGUUUUGACCAUUAAAUAAACAAAAAAUAAAGAAAAUGAAGAAUUUGUCAUUUUCUUUAAAUAAACAAAAAAUAAAGAAAGCACUAAAACAAACAAAAAAAAAAAAAAUUGUAAAAUGGAGUUACAUAACUUUUCGAAAAGUACAAAUAAAUCAAAUUUAAAUAGAAGGGAAAAUUAAUCAUUUAAUGACCAAAAUAGGGUGUAGAACGAGUUUUGCUAACUAAAUGAAAGGUUGAAGGUAAAUUAUGUUAAAAACAGAUUGAGGACGAAAGUACAAAUUUCCAUAUGUUGAAUAGUUAUUCCAUGUGAAAAUCUUAAAUCAAUCGUGGGAUAGAAAUCUUCUCUUUCUAUUUAUUAGUGUUAUUUCUCCGCCAAUAUUAUAAGCAUUUGAAAGAGACUCUUAAUUUAUAAAGUUCACUUUUGUGCAUUAUUGAGAACAUCUUUAAAUUUUGAGAGCCAAAAUUUUUAUUUACUCAAACAAUAUUCUCUAUUUUGGUUAUUCAUUUUUUUUUUAGAAAAAUAUUUAUUGAUUUCUCUUCUUAUUUUAUUUAACAUAAUUUUUUUCUCGGUUAAUGGUCAAUUAAAUUCAAUGUGGUUUGAAUUGUUUAAGGAAUAGAGUAUUAAAAUAUGUGACUUAAAUAUAAUCAUUUUACAUUAAAAAUAAGGAGUGAUCACUUGAACCAUUGAUCAACAUCAAAUCAUAUCAACACUAAAUAAUCAGCAUAAGGUCGAGCACUCAUUCGAUCAUCGAACCACAAGGAGAUUUAAAUGUGUUCUCCCCAAGGGCAUGGGGUCACAUGGCCCCCCAUCUUUGAUGCCAAUAUUUUUUUUUUCCCUCUAUAUUUUUGUUUCAAUUUUUAAAGUCAUUAUAAAAUGUCAGACGAAAUUGGAAUAUUGUAUUUUUAUUAUAAUUUUGAAGAUUUCUACGUUGUUAAUGGCACAAGAAUGGUUAAAUGUAUCAAAUUUUACGGCCUAUCAAAGUAGGCCAUUUCAAACUAGUAUUUCGAAAAUUUCGAUAAUAUACUAAAUUUAAAAAAAUUCUCUGACGAUCGUACGCUAGUCAAAUCCACAAAUCGUCUAUGUUAUCUUGAAGCUUAUCUCGAGAACUACGUCAUAGGCAUAUCAAAUGGUCCAAACAGAUAGCAAAAAUAGUUAAAAAUGUGUCAAACUUGCGUCUUAAAAAGAGGCGUAUAACUCGUAUUUUCUUUAAAAAUUUUCAAUUAUUAUUAUUUUUGCAAGACAAAUUUUCAAUAGAAUUUACAUUAUGUCAUUAGGAAAUUUGACAUGGGAUAUGAUAUAAAUUUUUUUCGAAAAUUUACAACUGAAAAGUCAUACCCAUGUAAAUUUUUUGACAUAAAAUUGCAUGGGAUAUAUAUAUAUAUAUAUAUAUAUAUAUAUAUAUAUUUGAUGUAAAAUUUUGAAUGAAAAACUCACAACUUUUUUGCAAGUUUGAUUGUAUCUACCUAAUUCAAAAUGUCAGCGUCCGCUAUAACAUAUAUAUACAUGGAAAUGAACUCUUAAACACCGAUACUUAGCUUAUAUUGAGUACUGAUGAUAUCACCAAUUAAAUAGUGUGUCAUGUCACCGGUACUUAAAAGAUCAUUCUUAUAUAUAUAUAUAUAUAUAUUAUCUUAAAUUUAAAAAUCAAGAAAAUACGUUUAUGAUAUCUUGUAGGCCUGGGCAAAAAAACCGUCAAACCACCUAAACCGCCAAACCGAACCGAUUCGGUUUGGUUUGGUUCGGUUUAGAGUAGUCAAAUGGUUUGGUUUGGUUUUUUGUAGACAAAAAUCAUGUUGGUUUGAUUUGGUUCAUGGUUUGAAUACCAAAACCGAUGGUUAACCGCUCAACCCGCUACAAAUUUAAACCAUUUUUUUUUCUUUUUGAAAGAAGAAGAAGAAGAAGAAGAAGACGGGUAACUCACAAACAGAGUAUGACUGUAGGAAUCAAAAUAAACAUGAUAACCAAUCCAAUCCAAAUCCAAUAAAAUUCCACAUUAAUUAUCAAUUUCAAUAGUAGUAAAACUAAGGUUUUAUUAGCAACUGUAGACUAUAUUUACGAUUCAAUCAUUCAUAUCUCCAGAAUCAUGCAGCAUGAUGAUUAAGAAUCAUGCAACAAAAUGGAUAUAAGACUUAUAAUUAUUUCAUGGAAACUAACUCAUAAUCAGACUCUCAAGCAAUACAUUUUAUCUUGCUUUCGUUUUCCUUUUCAGGAAGAAAAGUCAAAAGAUAAGGCACCGGAAGUUGAUGCUUGAUGACGACGAACUUUCGCUAUUCUUCUACUUUCCAGAACCUCGUCACUAGCUUUUUUGAAACUUUUUGCUCCUGAUUCAAAGGUUUCAUCAUCAUCAAGAUCAGGAUUAUCUCAAGAUAGUUGCACUCCGACAGCCCUCUUUUUUGAAGGUUGAAAAUUGUUUUCCUCAUCCCCCAUUGUAGAUUAACAAAACAAACUUGAAGGAAAAUUUGCUUCCUCCACAAGUUGGAAGAAAGUGAUCUCUUCAGUUAAAAACAUAUACAAAAAUCACAAACUAAAAGGACAUUAUAAAUGGAAUCAAAUGUUGCUUCUUGACCAAACAAAUGUUAGGAAAGAUAUUCUAGGCUAUGAAACAAAUACUUUUGAAGGAGACAAACUAUAAUGUGAAACUACAUGAUCCAGAUAAUCAAUUAGCACUCGCCCACAGACAUAAACAAGUGAAACUAGUCAUUAAGUUUGGCAAUUGUUAAUUCAUUACAGAAAGUAUCCAAAGAUCAUGCGUCAAGCAAAAGAAACACUCACAUUUGUAAAUCAAACUCAAAAAUGGGGGAACAAGGAAAAAAAGAAAGGAAAAAGAAAGAAAAAAAGGAGGAAAAAAAAAAAGAAAAAGAAAAGGGAGAGAACAAUGUGUGAGAGUAACAUCAAUGUUUGCUUGUUCUUUAUAAGUUACAAUGCAAUGUUAUUUAAAAGUUCAAACCGAGAAACCAAACCAAACCAAACCGAACCAAAGUGGUUUGGGUUGGUUCGGUUUAAGAAUUAGAGUGGAUUGGUUUUGGUUUUAAUUUCACUCAAACCGAUUACUUUGGUUUGGUUUUGGGUUUAGGUCAAAACCAACCCAAACCAAACCACGCCCAGGCCUAAUAUCUUUGGGUAUAUCUUUAAUGAGCCGCGCAUACUGCACAUGUGCUCGGCCCACUUGUAUAAAUUAAUCAUGAGAUCAUAUCUUGUAAUAGCAUGACGAUUAGUUGUAUAGUUAAUAAAGUAAUGAAUCACAUGAUACCACUUAUAUGUAACAAAACUCUUUUCAAACUUGAAUAAAUAACUUAAAAUAAAUUCUAAUUACAUAUUUCACACUUAAUUUAAAUAUAUGCAAUCAACGUUCCUCGACACAUUGUGAGUUUAGAAAUGUUUGUUGAUCACUUAAACCAUCAAAUCAUCACAGUAUUUAAGAUAAUGAAAAUAAAUAAAUAAAUAAAUAACGUAAGUAAAUGAUAUAUAUAUAUAUAUAUAUAUAUAUAUAUAUAUAUAUAUAUAUACAUGUGUAAAUAACUUAAUUUAAACCUACAUUCAACUUACAGCUGUCGGAAAAUAAUAUAUUAAAUUUAAAUAUUAAAGCAAUAUAUUAAAGUUAAUAUAUUAAAAUAAUAUAUCCAAGUUGAAUAAAAUUGUAAGAGCAAUUCGUAUGUUUCAAUUCGAGUCGAUUAUUUAGCUAAUUUGUAUUUGAAUUGGUUUAAUUCCAUAAUCUCAUGGCUAUUGUAACAUUAUUUGUAUUAAAUAAAAAAUUAGCUAAUAAUUUGAUGUUGACCUAUGGAUGACUUCAUAUUUUGAUUUGAACAAACAAAUUGUUUUUAUCUCUAACAAUUGAAUUCAAAUCGUUAUAACUAUUUUUGCAAAAUUGAUCAAUUGAAGACAAAGAGAUCGUUAUUAAAAGACUUGCAAUUGAUGCUCAAUGAAAAUCGAGAUGGAAGCCGAGCAUUUACGAUAAAUCAAUCAAAGACAAGUGGUUUAACGACAUUAGACUUAGAUGUUUUUGGAUUCAAUGACUCAUUAAAAGCUCGAGAUGAAUUUUUAUGCACGAGAAAAAUUAUUUCUUAAAAAUGCUUGCAUAAUUUUUCCCCCCAAAGGUAAGAAUCUCAAUUUUAUAUUUAAACUUAUUACAAAUGUCACUUACCUUGAAUAAUUAAGUGAAAUUGUCCUUCAAAAGUCUACAUCUUUCAAAACAAUCAAAGAAGGAAAAAUUCGGAAAAACUAACCAAGUGGACAUCCAGUUGAUCUAUUGAACCUUCAAAAGUCUACAUCUUUCAAAACAAUCAAAGAAUAAAAAAUCUGAAAAAACUAACCAAGCAGACAUCCGGUUGAUCUAGUGAAAAUCCGAUUUGUCCAAUAGUCAAAUUUUUAACUGUUCUGAAUUCUGACACAAAACAGCUAGUUCAGUGUCCGGUUUAGAAGCGGACGUCAGGUUGAGUUGUCCUAUUGGUCAGAACAUUUGGUGUUUUAACCGCUAUAAAUAUUUCCCCACUUUGUAUUCAAUUCAACACUUUUAAGAACAUUAAAGUGAGAUAUUUUCUUUUAGAAUUCUUUGAACGUUCCUUUACAUUCAAUUUCAUUUAUUUUUUCAUAUAAAAAACUCUAAUUGAUUUAAACUCUUUAAUUAUCAUCUUCAUCAAAAAUUUUCAUAUUUCUUUUUGUACUUAACUUAUUUCUAUCAUUCGUAGAAGAGAGAUAUAUUUUGAAGAAAAGUUUUGAACUUACAUUGUAUCAUUUCUUCUACUUAUCUAUAUUAAAACUUUAAUUUAUUGAAUCAAAUUUGUAAAAUCAUAAUAUUCAUCAAAGUUCUUCAUCUCUCUUUUGGUACAUAAUUUAUACCUUAUUCAUUAAAAGAGAGCUAUUAUUUUGGGAGGAUUUUUGAACUAACAUUGUAUUUAUUUCUUCUUCAUCUUCUCAUCGAAAAACUUUGAUUGAUUCAAUUAAACUUUGAAAUCAUCAUAUUCAUUAAAGUUUUCUCAUCUAAAUAUGAACUAUCAUUUUUUGCUAUUCAUUAAAACGUUAAUCUCUCUUAGUAUUUAAUUCAUUGAAGUACUUUAUUUCGUUAUACUUAUGAGUCAUAUGGAGGCCCUGCAAAACUCAAUAGUGUAGUCGUAUUGAGAUCCCUUAAACUCGAGGUGGGUGCUGACAAAAACUGAGCCUUAGUAUUCAAUAUUGUGAAUUGAGGUUUCUUGAAUAAGGACUGGGACUUUGAGAUGGGUGUUAUAGAAGCCAUCACAGGAUUAAGAAAAAAUUAAUGACUUGGCGUGGACAGAUCAAACAAGGGUUAUUGUUGAGUGCAAACAAG